ensembl:lncRNA
CUCACCUUUCUUUCAGACUGUAUCAGUUCUGCAUCCCAUUUGUGUCCAAGAUGGAUUCUCUUCUCUCCAUUGUCUUACUGAUGCAUCAUCUCUGACCUGAACCAUGGGAGAAGCCUCCAACAGGUCUCCCUACCUCAGAUACUAGAGGGAUCUUCAGAAUGCACACGGACUGUCCUCCUCCUGAAGCCCGUGUUCAGUCCCGUUGGCUAUAGCGUGAGGUCCAAACUCUGGAGCAGACCACCCAAGUCUCCUUACCGUCCGACCUCACCUCUCCCCCCACCACAUCCUCCACACACAGGCUCCAACUUAGUAAGAUGGCAGGCAGGUGGUGUGGCCUUUCAGAGGGGAACAAAAGCUCUUGGCAGACCUGAGAAUCCAAGAGAUUCUUGCAACUGUGUGGUCAAACGAGCAAUGGCAAAAGCUGAAGUUUUUGUAUGGAAUUUGUGUUUGAGCCACAUAUCUUUGUCCUCGGAAGAACUUUAGCAACUCAGGUUUACUUUUGAACAAAUGCAUUCCCUUGUAUUCUUUCCCCAGCUUAAGAACUGUCUGUUAAUUGUAAUUUUAAAAAGAAGAAAACAAGCAAGCAGUAGCAUCUUGCUUUGAUUAGAACAAUCCAAGGGCUUCCAGCCCUGGGAAGAGAAAGAGGUACUUUGGAAGCUAGGGAAGCCAGCUCUGUGAGGGACAGCUCUGACAUAGCAGUGUGGCACAGUGAGGACACUUCUGGGGUCAAACAAGCUCACCCCCACAUGUGCUCCUUCAGUGAUGUUACCAGGGAUGUGGGUCUCGAACUCAGGAACCGUGAGAUCAUGACCCGAGCCGCAGUUGAGUCUUAAAAUACUGAUUUUAAAAUACCAGCAUUUUUAAAAUGAACAAUACUAUUUGAAUGGAAGACUUUCUCUUCUAUGCAGAAAAGAAUCAGAAGCUGAAGGAGAACUUUGAAAGCCACACAAGAACAACGGGCUUCCCAGUCGUGGGUGACUCUCAAAGCAUUAGGCUCCGUGGAAGAAGCCAAGCACACAAGGAGCAAAGGUUUGGGAGCCAUCUGUCUUUGCCAGUCUGGACGGGCCUGCUGAUGGACAGCCCUCAGCCCAGCCACGGGAGCACAGCAGUAAAAGGACUUUGGAAAGUUUUGCCAACCUCGGGAAGCUGACUGAAUGCAUCGCCCCUGAAGCUGUGGUUUGGCUCAGGUAGCAGACAGCUCUCCUGAAUUCGGCUUCUGAGACACUUCCAUUGGAAGACCCGCUGUGGGGGCAAGCACUUGCCUUUUACCACUGUCCCCAUCGCUUGUUACUGCCUCUCCCUGAGCCUCUGUCUCCUGGCUGAGCCCUGAAGGUAUUAAUACUUAUGAAAACGGUUAGGGUCUGCUGACAAAUACUGGAACGAAGAGUAGACAUUGGAAAACAAAAUUCCUUCUUUCUAGCGUCUCUGCUUCGUAUCAGAUGUGCUCAGUCGUUCUUGGAAGUCUUGACCUCCUGCAUCGCCCAUCUGCACUGGGGAUCUUUAACCACAAGGCAGCUCAGGGCUUGCUGUAACCCAACGCUGCUGUCCCCGCCCUCCAAACCCUCGGAAAGGGCCUCUGCAAGCCACUGUCUGUCACAGCUCCUGUUGGGGGCCCCUCCUGCAUGGCUCCUUCUCUUCCCAGAUGCUGGUGACAGCUCCCUCUUCUUGUCCCCUCCAGGUGCAGGAGUGACAAGAGCUUCCCUCUGUCACUAGUUUCUGCUUCCCCACCUUUUGUUGCUUCCCCAACCCUGCUCAUGCCUGUGUGAAUAGUUCUUCUCUGACAUCCUCUUCAGUUAAACCUUUUUAUUGUUGUAUCUGAUCUCUAUUAGGACAGUGACCAUCCCAACCCCGCUGCCCCAGGGCCCUCAGGGUAAAAUCCAAACUUCUUAAUGCCCCGCCACCCUGGCCUCUCCUGCUAUUCUCCUCUGGUUCCCUAACUUCCAGUCUUCAAACUGUUUCCCAUUCGGGGCCCUUUGCAUCUGCUGUUCUCAGCCAGGAAUGUUCUUUCCCCGUAUGUUGGGCCAGCUGCCUUGUUCUCAUCAUUAUGGUGUUAGGUUGGAUGUCACCUCUUUAGAAAGUCCUUUCCAGGUCACUCUACGUAAGUAGCUCACCCGCCGCCCCCCCCCAGUUCUUUACCAUCUUAUUGCCCU